rnacentral:rRNA from 1 species
AGUGAACGCUGGCGGUAGGCCUAACACAUGCAAGUCGAACGGCAGCACAGGAGAGCUUGCUCUCUGGGUGGCGAGUGGCGGACGGGUGAGGAAUACAUCGGAAUCUGCCCAGUCGUGGGGGAUAACGUAGGGAAACUUACGCUAAUACCGCAUACGACCUUCGGGUGAAAGAGGGGGAUCGCAAGACCUCUCGCGAUUGGAUGAGCCGAUGUCGGAUUAGCUAGUUGGCGGGGUAAUGGCCCACCAAGGCGACGAUCCGUAGCUGGUCUGAGAGGAUGAUCAGCCACACUGGAACUGAGACACGGUCCAGACUCCUACGGGAGGCAGCAGUGGGGAAUAUUGGACAAUGGGCGCAAGCCUGAUCCAGCCAUACCGCGUGGGUGAAGAAGGCCUUCGGGUUGUAAAGCCCUUUUGAUGGGAAAGAAAUCUUUCAGGCUAAUACCCUGGGAGGAUGACGGUACCCAAAGAAUAAGCACCGGCUAACUUCGUG